AAUCAACGCUGGCGGCGUGCCUCAGACAUGCAAGUCGAACGAGAACCUCCCUUCGGGGAGGGAAGUGGCGCACGGGUGAGUAACACGUGGGUAAUUUACCUUCGGUGGGAGUAACAGUCGGAACGACUGCUAAUACCGCAUGAUGCAGCGGCACCACAUGGUGACAGUUGUUAAAGCGGGGAUCGCAAGACCUCGCGCCUGAAGAGAAGCCCGCGGCAGANAGUCUAGUUGGUAAGGUAAUGGCUUACCAAGGCAACGAUCUGUAGCCGGCCUGAGAGGGCGGUCGGCCACACUGACACUGAAUAACGGGUCAGACUCCUACGGGAGGCAGCAGUCGGGAA
rnacentral:rRNA from 1 species